rnacentral:ribozyme from 12 species
UUCUUAUCCAUGUUCAUUCUUUUUUUUCUUGCUGCUUGCUUCCUUUCUUUCUGCUCUAAUGUGUGCCAGAUAAGAUAAGAUGUGAGGCUAUUUACCUGGAAUAGAAAGGCUGAACUAGAAUAAGUUAUUUCCUCUA